UACGUAGGGGGCAAGCGUUGUCCGGAUUUAUUGGGCGUAAAGAGCGUGUAGGCGGCCUGACAGGUCUGCUGUGAAAACUCGAGGCUCAACCUCGAGAUGUCGGCGGAAACCGUCUGGCUAGAGUCCGGAAGAGGAGAGUGGAAUUCCUGGUGUAGCGGUGAAAAUGCGCAGAUAUCAGGAAGAACACCUAUGGCGAAGGCAGCUCUCUGGGGACGGUACUGACGCUGAGACGCGAAAAGCGUGGGGGAGCGAACAGG
rnacentral:rRNA from 1 species